GUCUUUGGUUAUCUAGCUGUAUGAGUACAUUCACAUGUCAUAAAGCUAGAUAACCGAAAGU
rfam:Astyanax mexicanus chromosome 8, whole genome shotgun sequence.